rnacentral:rRNA from 1 species
GACGAACGCUGGCGGCGUGCCUAAUACAUGCAAGUCGAACGCAGUGGGGACGGGUGAGUAACACGUGGGUAACCUCCCAUCAGAGGGGAUAACACUUGGAAACAGGUGCUAAACCGAUACUGAUGGAUGGACCCGCGGUGCAUUAGCUAGUUGGUGAGGUAACGGCGCACCAAGGCCACGAUGCAUAGGCGGCCUGGGAGGGUGAUCGGGCAGACUGGGAAUGGGACACGGGCCAUACUGCUACGGGAGGCAGCAGUAGGGAAACUUGGGGAAAUGACGAAAGUCUGACCGAGCAAAGCCGCGUGAGUGGAGAAGGUGUUCGGGUCGUAAAGCUCUGUUGUUAAGGACGCGGUACUUAACCAGAAAGGGACGGCUAACUACGUGCCAGCAGCCGCGGUAAUAC